rnacentral:rRNA from 1 species
AUUGAACGCUGGCGGCAUGCCUUACACAUGCAAGUCGAACGGUGACGGGCCUUCGUGUGCUGACGAGGGGCGAACGGGAGAGUAAUACAUCGGAACGUGCCCGAUCGUGGGGGAUAACGAGGCGAAAGCUUUGCUAAUAGCGCAUACGAUCUACGGAUGAAAGCAGGGGACCGCAAGGUCUUACGCGGACAUAGCGGCCGAUUGCAAAUUAGGUAGGUGGUGGGAUAAAAGCGUACCAAGCCGACGAUCUGAAGCUGGUCUGAGAGGAUGAUCAGCCACACUGGGACUGAGACACGGCCCAGCCUCCUACGGGAGGCGGCAGUGGGGAAUUUUGGCCAUUGGCGGAAAUCUUGCUCCAGACAUGCCGCUUGGAGGAUGAGGGCUUUCGGGUUUAAAACUGCGUUUGUACGGAACAACAAGCCUUCUUUUAAUACAGGCGGGUAAUGACGGUACCGUACGAGUAAGCACCGGCUAACUACGUG